UACGGAGGGUGCGAGCGUUAAUCGGAAUUACUGGGCGUAAAGCGUGCGCAGGCGGUUUGUUAGCGAGAUGUGAAAGCCCCGGGCUCAACCUGGGAACCGCAUUUCGAACUGGCAAACUAGAGUCUUGUAGAGGGGGGUAGAAUUCCAGGUGUAGCGGUGAAAUGCGUAGAGAUCUGGAGGAAUACCGGUGGCGAAGGCGGCCCCCUGGACAAAGACUGACGCUCAGGCACGAAAGCGUGGGGAGCAAACAGG
rnacentral:rRNA from 1 species